UACAGAGGUGGCAAGCGUUGUUCGGAAUUACUGGGCGUAAAGGGCGCGUAGGCGGCCUUCUAAGUCAGACGUGAAAUCCCCCGGCUUAACCUGGGAACUGCGUCUGAUACUGGAAGGCUUGAGUGCGGGAGAGGGAUGUGGAAUUCCAGGUGUAGCGGUGAAAUGCGUAGAUAUCGGGAGGAACACCUGUGGCGAAGGCGGCUUUCUGGGCCUUACCUGACGCUGAGACGCGAAAGCGUGGGGAGCGAACCGG
rnacentral:rRNA from 1 species